AUUACCUAAUAUACUAUAUCGAUUACAUUAUAGUUGUAUUUAACACGGUAAAUGAAAUACAAUGAAUGAAUUAUAUUUUUUAAAUAACCAAUCAGUUAAUAAAUAUUUGAAGAAAGUCAAAGCUGAAAAAAAAUUACACAUUUUAACGAUGAAAAGUGAUUAUUCAUGAUAAUGUUAUAAAACGGAAAUAUUAUUGUGUACGAAAUUAAAAAUAAAAAUCAAUCGAUGCAGCAGUAUCGUCAUCGACAGGAAACAUGCGGUCUCAUAAAACACAAUAAUAUUUAGCGAUGACGCCAACUAAGUAAAAAUAAGAAAAGAUAUUGGCACUGCGGAAGUGGAUAAUAUCUACUGGAUAUAUUAUUUCAUUAACUACUAAACAUAUUUAUUUUAAAUAUGCAUCAAAAUAUCAAAAAUUCCGCGCCUAGUAUACUUUUGUAUAAAAAUCGUGUUAAUAACGAAAACUAAAGUAAAGUUGUGAAGCAAAAUGUGGGCCGCCUACUACUCCGUAUAAUGGGUGUCUCUACAACGCAACCGCCACUGUUCGAAUAGCCGCACGGAGGGAGUAAGAG